GAAAAUAUUUAAAUAUCUCCACCGAACAGAGAGAGCUAAGUGAGACAGACAGAGGGCUGGUACACAGUAGGGAGUGCAUAGAUUUGUAUCUCAUAAAUCCUGAUUUCGUAUGUCUUGUGAUAAAAGAAGAUGCUGGUUGAGAUCUGCACCGUGGCUAUCUGCUGGGUCAUAACAGCAAGCUGUAGUCAGUGCAUAGGUACAGUAUGAUGCUCUAUGACUUGACAAAAGAGUAUAGUAACAUGUUUUGGAAUAAGAUUACUCUCUUUGUAAGCUUUGGCGAGUCAAUUGUUAAAUGUAUUACUGUACUGGACAUUUUUAGAGCCUCGUGAGACAGGUACAAACUUCUCCAUCACAGUGACCCAAGACGUUACAGUAGAGGCUGGACAGUGCAUUCCUAUAUCAUGCAAAUUCACAUACCCAGGCAACGUUACUGAAUACAUACGAAGAGUCUGGUUCAAAGGAGAUGCACUUACACCUGUAUUUGAAAAAGAUGCAGAGGUGUGCUGUGUUUUUGGCAGUUCCUGAGAGGUCCUGAAAGGUCUUGCAGCUUUUUCCUCGAAGACCAACAAGAAGGAGAAAACGAGUAUAGAUUCAAGUUAACAUGGGGAGAUGAUCAAAUGUAUGUUUUUCCUGAGAGGGUACGAGUCUCAGUGUCUGGUACGUAAGAAACUAUGUCAACAAUAUACUACUUUCAUUCUCUUAAAUCGCACUACAGAUUAUAAUGAGUAUUACUGUAUUGGUCUUUGCCUGAUGAAAAUAUCACCUUAUGUGUCCAAGUGAGAAUAAAUGUAGCCUACACACUUCUGAAUUCUAAUAAUGUUAAAUUGCAGCAUAUUUUGUCACUGAUUCAGAACCUCCAAAUGAUAAUAAUCGUGGUUUUCACAUCACAGCAUAAUCUGAAUUAAAAUGCUUGAAAAAUGAAUGGUCAAAGUGAUCAAACUUUGCCAAAUUCUGUUUAGCUCUAACCCAGAAGAAGCCCACUGUGGAGACACCCCCUCUCAUAGAGGGAGAGAGUGCCACACUGACCUGCAAAGUAUAUUCACUCAAACUAAAUGACCUCUGCCCGCAAAGACUAGAAGAAGAUUUUUUUGUUGGAAUAGCCUGGAGAGGGACAGAGAACUUAGGCAUGCAUUUUAGGAUAAUGGAGCCAUCAACAGCAGAAAAUGUAUUCAGUGUGAAUAAGUUGUAUUUCACUCCUAAAUCCGAACAUCACAACAUCAACCUCACAUGUGUGGGCAUCUACAAGAAGGCCAACAUUACUCUGGAGAAAACGGUGACUUUAACAGUAAAAUGUACAUUCACCUUUCAGAGCAUUCCCUCAUUAUCAAAAUACAUUACAGUACUUACUCUUCAAGUCUCUGUUAGGUAAACAAGCAUUUAUUUGUCUUCCCUAGACCGUCCCAAGUUCCUGAAUGGCUCGGUGUGUGUGGUCCAGGCAGAGGUCCUGACCUGUGUGUGUGUCAGUUAGGGGGUUCCCUUACCAGUGAUUGCUUGGCCAAUGUUAGGGGUCUAUAUUAGUUACAGUGUCAUCGUCUCCAGGAGUGCCCAAACCGUGAACAGCACCAUCACCAUGUCUGCCUCAGAAUACAAGAACAGCAGCGUGGAGUGUGUCAGCAGCAAUGUAAUUGGCCAGACCAAGAUGGAAUUCCCCAUACUACACCAAGCUGAAGGGAGUCUGACACAUAUCCCUGGGUCAGAGAAGAGGGAUGUUGCAGUCUUUCCCUGGAUAAUCGUUGGCUUGUCCCUCAGCCUUAAUGUGGCCCUCCUUGUCUAUCUGACCAGCGCUUGUAAAUGCAAAAAGGGUGGACAGAAGAGAGCUAAAGAAGAAGAUAGUACCUACAUCUCAUUGGACAAGGCGGACGUGUCUCCUGAAUAUGACAUCAUCUCCCCGAAUCCCCAUUGAUCCUCUGCUUGUGAUAAACUUCUACUUUAUUUUAGCGUUUGGUUCUGAGGCAUGAUUUUGCUCUUUUAUUUCAAUUUCAAUUAUUUUCUAUUGCUAUACUUUUUGUUGUAGUUGCUUGAGCCCUGAAAACAUUUUGACGUGAAUGAAUUCAACCUAUUUUCUGAAUAAUGUCUCAGGAUUUAUGCACAAAAAAUAAUUCAAUUGUAACAGUUUUUCUGUAAAAGCACAUACGGAAGCUACAAGUUAAGUGUUAUCUUCCUCAUGUUCAACUAUGUUAAUCAAAAUGUUAUGCAGAUAAUCAAGGUACCACAGUAUGGAACGCAGUUUGGGUCUUUCCGUGUCAAAAAAGAUACACAUCAAAUAACACUAUUUGACACAUUGAAUAAGCUUUUAAUUUGACAUGUCAAAUAAAACAGUUUAAUUGUAGAAUGCUGUGUUGGACUGCAACUUCUGGGCGAGCAGCUAGCUUUAGCUUAGUCCCUAGCAAGAGGUAGCCACAUGUUGUUUGCCUAUUGAAAUUGAACUUCAGUUCAUGACAAGAAAUAGCUAGCCAGCUCCUAAACCCUGGUGCCCAAAGUUAACGUUAUAUACUGCCAGCAAGCUUCAUGAGGCUCGACCAGACCGGGUUAUGUGUUGUGAAGCUAGCCACAAUAAGGAGUAGGCACAAUAGUGGCAUUUGCGAUUUGACUUCAAAAUAAAAGUUCCUCUUUGAAAGUGAUGCAGAAGGUAACAACUGGUGGAAUCAUGCCAUAUUUAGAUUAGAUCAUGUUAAACAAGGUUGGAAUGUGAAGCAAUAAAAUGGGGUAUCAGUCUACUCGGUGACACCCACAGAACACGACUGUGAAGAGUAUACUCAAAUAUUAGCGUUGUAGCUCUUAUUGCGGGACUGUGACUGUGUGAAAUCGCCUCCCCAGUCAGCCUAUUGUGUGUAUUGACAUUCAUAUUGUACUGUACAGCUUUACCUAAGGAUUGGGGAUCAAUGAAAUAGGGUAUCAGUCUACUCAAUACCCAAUAUAUUUUUUCACAACGUCAUCCUCAGUUAUCAGACUCCAAAACAUCCACGCAGUAUUGUUUUUCCUCUGGAAUAGUGUUCAAUACACAUAGCUUGACAAUAAAUGUGUCUCAGUUCAGUUGUUUCAGAGUCCAGCAAUAAGAGCUACAGUACGACGAUAAUGUUCCCUGGGUGUCCUGAGUAGACUGAGACCCCAUGUCAUUAAUCCACAAUCUAUAGGUAAAGCUGUACUGUGAAAUAAGUAUUUUUUAAAGUUUUAAUUCACUUUUAUUUAACCGGGUAGGCCAGUUGAGAACAAGUUGUCAUUUACAACUGCGACCUGGCCAAGAUUAAGCAAAGCAGUGCGACAAAAACAACAACAGAGAGUUACACAUAAACAAACGCACAGUCAAUAACACAAAAGAAAGAAAAAUAGAAAAAGUUAUCUACAGUGUGUGCAAAUGUAAAAAUAAUUAUACAAAUAUAUAUGAAAUAUAUAUGAAGAAAACUGAUAUAUACAAGGGACGGGACAAGACAAUCAAAACAGACAUCCCCACUGCUACACCACCUUGGUUUAGUAUGCCCCCAAUGCAAUUCUAAAGCAUAAUCCAUUCAGUGUGAUUUCAACAGAAACAAUUUUAGUGCAAUUGUAUUAACUCUGAAAAUAUCUUAUUAUAAUGAUUCAGGAAUAUGUUAUUCUUGUUGUUAUUCACUAGGGUUAAUGUUUUAAUAAGAUAAUUUAAUUCAAUCAGAAAAAUGUGUAAUUUUGGUAUAGAAUUUUUGAAUUUUUGUUUGUGUAUAAAGUUUUUGGCAAAAAUAAUUAAAAAAUUAA